rnacentral:rRNA from 1 species
AAAGCUCUAUUAAUGAUAUGUUNAUGAACUUACUUAGGGGGUGUAAAUUCCCCCUUCUUAAAUAAUAGACGAGAAGACCCUAGAAANUUUGCAAAAUAUGAACCGGNUUAUUUUUUGUUGGGGCAACAUUGUAGCAUUUAACCUACAGUANAUGACACGCCAUGUUAUUUGUAAGAUUAAAUUACUCUAGGGAUAACAGCGUAAUUAANUAAAAGUUUGCGACCUCGAUGUUGGACUAGGACGCGGUCGCUUAGAAGGCCAUCCGUAACGCUCUGUUCGAGCGAUUGUCUCCUACGUGAUCUGA